rnacentral:rRNA from 1 species
GGUUAAGCGACUAAGCGUACACGGUGGAUGCCCUGGCAGUCAGAGGCGAUGAAGGACGUGCUAAUCUGCGAAAAGCGUCGGUAAGGUGAUAUGAACCGUUAUAACCGGCGAUGUCCGAAUGGGGAAACCCAGUGCAAUUCGUUGCACUAUCGUUAACUGAAUACAUAGGUUAACGAGGCGAACCGGGGGAACUGAAACAUCUAAGUACCCCGAGGAAAAGAAAUCAACCGAGAUUCCCCCAGUAGCGGCGAGCGAACGGGGAGCAGCCCAGAGUCUGAAUCAGCUUGUGUGUUAGUGGAACGGUCUGGAAAGUCCGACGGUACAGGGUGAUAGUCCCGUACACCAAAAUGCACAGGCUGUGAACUCGAAGAGUAGGGCGGGACACGUGGUAUCCUGUCUGAAUAUGGGGGGACCAUCCUCCAAGGCUAAAUACUCCUGACUGACCGAUAGUGAACCAGUACCGUGAGGGAAAGGCGAAAAGAACCCCGGCGAGGGGAGUGAAAAAGAACCUGAAACCGUGUACGUACAAGCAGUGGGAGCACCUUCGGGUGUGACUGCGUACCUUUUGUAUAAUGGGUCAGCGACUUAUAUUCUGUAGCAAGGUUAACCGUAUAGGGGAGCCGCAGGGAAACCGAGUCUUAACUGGGCGUUAAGUUGCAGGGUAUAGACCCGAAACCCGGUGAUCUAGCCAUGGGCAGGUUGAAGGUUGGGUAACACUAACUGGAGGACCGAACCGACUAAUGUUGAAAAAUUAGCGGAUGACUUGUGGCUGGGGGUGAAAGGCCAAUCAAACCGGGAGAUAGCUGGUUCUCCCCGAAAGCUAUUUAGGUAGCGCCUCGUGAAUUCAUCUUCGGGGGUAGAGCACUGUUUCGGCUAGGGGGUCAUCCCGACUUACCAACCCGAUGCAAACUACGAAUACCGAAGAAUGUUAUCACGGGAGACACACGGCGGGUGCUAACGUCCGUCGUGAAGAGGGAAACAACCCAGACCGCCAGCUAAGGUCCCAAAGUCAUGGUUAAGUGGGAAACGAUGUGGGAAGGCACAGACAGCCAGGAUGUUGGCUUAGAAGCAGCCAUCAUUUAAAGAAAGCGUAAUAGCUCACUGGUCGAGUCGGCCUGCGCGGAAGAUGUAACGGGGCUAAACCAUGCACCGAAGCUGCGGCAGCGACACUAUGUGUUGUUGGGUAGGGGAGCGUUCUGUAAGCCUGCGAAGGUGUGCUGUGAGGCAUGCUGGAGGUAUCAGAAGUGCGAAUGCUGACAUAAGUAACGAUAAAGCGGGUGAAAAGCCCGCUCGCCGGAAGACCAAGGGUUCCUGUCCAACGUUAAUCGGGGCAGGGUGAGUCGACCCCUAAGGCGAGGCCGAAAGGCGUAGUCGAUGGGAAACAGGUUAAUAUUCCUGUACUUGGUGUUACUGCGAAGGGGGGACGGAGAAGGCUAUGUUAGCCGGGCGACGGUUGUCCCGGUUUAAGCAUGUAGGCUGGUUGUCCAGGCAAAUCCGGAUAAUCAAGGCUGAGGUGUGAUGACGAGGCACUACGGUGCUGAAGUAACAAAUGCCCUGCUUCCAGGAAAAGCCUCUAAGCAUCAGGUAACAUUAAAUCGUACCCCAAACCGACACAGGUGGUCAGGUAGAGAAUACCAAGGCGCUUGAGAGAACUCGGGUGAAGGAACUAGGCAAAAUGGUGCCGUAACUUCGGGAGAAGGCACGCUGGUGUGUAGGUGAAGUCCCUGCGGAUGGAGCUGAGACCAGUCGAAGAUACCAGCUGGCUGCAACUGUUUAUUAAAAACACAGCACUGUGCAAACACGAAAGUGGACGUAUACGGUGUGACGCCUGCCCGGUGCCGGAAGGUUAAUUGAUGGGGUUAUCCGUAAGGAGAAGCUCUUGAUCGAAGCCCCGGUAAACGGCGGCCGUAACUAUAACGGUCCUAAGGUAGCGAAAUUCCUUGUCGGGUAAGUUCCGACCUGCACGAAUGGCGUAAUGAUGGCCAGGCUGUCUCCACCCGAGACUCAGUGAAAUUGAACUCGCUGUGAAGAUGCAGUGUACCCGCGGCAAGACGGAAAGACCCCGUGAACCUUUACUAUAGCUUGACACUGAACAUUGAGCCUUGAUGUGUAGGAUAGGUGGGAGGCUUUGAAGCGUGGACGCCAGUCUGCGUGGAGCCAACCUUGAAAUACCACCCUUUAAUGUUUGAUGUUCUAACGUUGGCCCCUUAUCGGGGUUGCGGACAGUGUCUGGUGGGUAGUUUGACUGGGGCGGUCUCCUCCCAAAGCGUAACGGAGGAGCACGAAGGUUAGCUAAUCCUGGUCGGACAUCAGGAGGUUAGUGCAAUGGCAUAAGCUAGCUUGACUGCGAGCGUGACGGCGCGAGCAGGUGCGAAAGCAGGUCAUAGUGAUCCGGUGGUUCUGAAUGGAAGGGCCAUCGCUCAACGGAUAAAAGGUACUCCGGGGAUAACAGGCUGAUACCGCCCAAGAGUUCAUAUCGACGGCGGUGUUUGGCACCUCGAUGUCGGCUCAUCACAUCCUGGGGCUGAAGUAGGUCCCAAGGGUAUGGCUGUUCGCCAUUUAAAGUGGUACGCGAGCUGGGUUUAGAACGUCGUGAGACAGUUCGGUCCCUAUCUGCCGUGGGCGCUGGAGAAUUGAGGGGGGCUGCUCCUAGUACGAGAGGACCGGAGUGGACGCAUCACUGGUGUUCGGGUUGUCAUGCCAAUGGCACUGCCCGGUAGCUAAAUGCGGAAGAGAUAAGUGCUGAAAGCAUCUAAGCACGAAACUUGCCCCGAGAUGAGUUCUCCCUGAGACUUUAAGUCUCCUGAAGGAACGUUAAAGACGAUGACGUUGAUAGGCCGGGUGUGUAAGCGCAGCGAUGCGUUGAGCUAACCGGUACUAAUGAACCGUGAGGCUUAACCUU